rnacentral:rRNA from 1 species
GACACGGCCCAGACUCCUACGGGAGGCAGCAGUGGGGAAUAUUGGACAAUGGGGGGAACCCUGAUCCAGCCAUGCCGCGUGUGUGAAGAAGGCCUUAUGGUUGUAAAGCACUUUAAGCGAGGAGGAGGCUCUUUUGGUUAAUACCCAAGAUGAGUGGACGUUACUCGCAGAAUAAGCACCGGCUAACUCUGUGCCAGCAGCCGCGGUAAUACAGAGGGUGCAAGCGUUAAUCGGAUUUACUGGGCGUAAAGCGCGCGUAGGCGGCCAAUUAAGUCAAAUGUGAAAUCCCCGAGCUUAACUUGGGAAUUGCAUUCGAUACUGGUUGGCUAGAGUGUGGGAGAGGAUGGUAGAAUUCCAGGUGUAGCGGUGAAAUGCGUAGAGAUCUGGAGGAAUACCGAUGGCGAAGGCAGCCAUCUGGCCUAACACUGACGCUGAGGUGCGAAAGCAUGGGGAGCAAACAGGAUUAGAUACCCUGGUAGUCCAUGCCGUAAACGAUGUCUACUAGCCGUUGGGGCCUUUGAGGCUUUAGUGGCGCAGCUAACGCGAUAAGUAGACCGCCUGGGGAGUACGGUCGCAAGACUAAAACUCAAAUGAAUUGACGGGGGCCCGCACAAGCGGUGGAGCAUGUGGUUUAAUUCGAUGCAACGCGAAGAACCUUACCUGGUCUUGACAUAGUAAGAACUUUCCAGAGAUGGAUUGGUGCCUUCGGGAACUUACAUACAGGUGCUGCAUGGCUGUCGUCAGCUCGUGUCGUGAGAUGUUGGGUUAAGUCCC